AGCGUCGUGCUUAUACUCGGCCGUCGGGACAGUAGUGAUAUCUUUACUACUCUCCGGAGUGUAAAAUAUCGUCAGGUCUCGACGAGUAGGUGGGCCGCGGCGGUGAGCGCAGAAGGACUGGGCGUAGGCCCGUCUGGAGCCGCCGUCGGUGCAGAUCUUGGUGGUAGUAGCAAAUACUCCAGCGAGGCCCUGGAGGACUGACGUGGAGAAGGGUUUCGUGUGAACAGCCGUUGCACACGAGUCAGUCGAUCCUAAGCCCUAGGAGAAAUCCGAUGUUAAUGCAGUUGUGUCUUUAUUAUAUGAUGACAUUGGUGUGUGAGUUUAAAACAGUUGACGUUAUACUUUGAUACAGUUAUUAGUAAUGAUGCUGGCUAAUCUAUUAACACUAUCGCUCGCUUAUUGAACGCUCAUAAGUGUAGUAAACUAUUUCUGCUGUGCGACAGUAGUUGUAGACUCUCACUUGUUCAAUUUAGUGUGUGGUUUAUAUGAUAGUUGAAACACAUUUUUAUUAUGUAGAAAAGUGUCCUCUGUCUCGAUCCACUAAUAAAUCGUUGUUAGAGAAGUAUCACACUCAUUGGGCGAAAGGGAAUCCGGUUCCUAUUCCGGAACCCGGCAGCGGAACCGUUUACAAGUCGGGCCCUCUUUAGAGAGUUCGUCGGGGCAACCCAACAAGACCUGGAGACGCCGUCGGGAGAUCCGGGAAGAGUUUUCUUUUCUGUAUGAGCGUUCGAGUUCCCUGGAAUCCUCUAGCAGGGAGAUAGGGUUUGGAACGCGAAGAGCACCGCAGUUGCGGCGGUGUCUGGAUCGUCCCCUCGGACCUUGAAAAUCCAGGAGAGGGCCACGUGGAGGUGUCGCGCCGGUUCG
rnacentral:rRNA from 1 species